GCGGGCGUAGUAUAGUGGUAAUACAUAGCCUUGCCAAGGCUAAGACGGGAGUUCGAUUCUCCUCGCCCGCU
rnacentral:tRNA from 1 species